rnacentral:rRNA from 1 species
GCCCUUCAGCAGCCGCGGUAAUACGUAGGUGGCAAGCGUUGUCCGGAAUUAUUGGGCGUAAAGCGCGCGCAGGCGGCCUUUUAAGUCUGAUGUGAAAGCCCCCGGCUCAACCGGGGAGGGCCAUUGGAAACUGGAAGGCUUGAGUACAGAAGAGAAGAGUGGAAUUCCACGUGUAGCGGUGAAAUGCGUAGAGAUGUGGAGGAACACCAGUGGCGAAGGCGACUCUUUGGUCUGUAACUGACGCUGAGGCGCGAAAGCGUGGGGAGCAAACAGGAUUAGAUACCCUGGUAGUCCACGCCGUAAACGAUGAGUACUAGGUGUUGGGGGGUUUCCGCCCCUCAGUGCUGAAGCUAACGCAUUAAGCACUCCGCCUGGGGAGUACGGCCGCAAGGCUGAAACUCAAAGGAAUAAGGGC